rnacentral:rRNA from 1 species
UUGUAUAUCAUUAAGCGGAGGAAAAGAAACCAACAGGGAUUGCCCCAGUAACGGCGAGUGAAGCGGCAAAAGCUCAAAUUUGAAAUCCUGCGGGAAUUGUAAUUUGAAGGUUUCGUGGUCUGAGUCGGCCGCGCCCAAGUCCAUUGGAACAUGGCGCCUGGGAGGGUGAGAGCCCCGUCUGGCGCACGCCGACUCUUUGCACCGCGGCUCCGACGAGUCGAGUUGUUUGGGAAUGCAGCUCUAAGUGGGUGGUAAAUUCCAUCUAAAGCUAAAUAUUGGCGAGAGACCGAUAGCGAACAAGUACAGUGAUGGAAAGAUGAAAAGCACUUUGAAAAGAGAGUGAAACAGCACGUGAAAUUGUUGAAAGGGAAGGGCUUGCAAGCAGACACGGUUUUUUACCGGGCCAGCGUCGAAAAGGGGGGAGGAACAAGAACUCGAGAAUGUGGCGCGCACCUUCGGGUGCGCGUGUUAUAGCUCGUGUUGACGCCUCCAUCCCUUUUCGAGGCCUGCGAUUCUAGGACGCUGGCGUAAUGGUUGCAAGCCGCCCGUCUUGAACCACACCACAA